UCAUGACGUCAUGAAAACCCAUCCUUAUAUACUAGCGCCGGGACGCCAUCUCGGUCUUUCGAGGUUGGCAGUUCGCGUAUUGCAUGAAUGGUGCCGGACAUGAAUACAGUGUGGCUUUUGAUGGCUUCUGAUGGACAGUUUCCUGCUGAAGGGGCGGAAGUGGCUGGCAAGAUCCUGAAGUUAAACACCCUGGCUAUGGGCAGGCAGGCAUUACACAGAAUUAGCUGGAAGUUGGAGGGGUGGACUUGAGUCUUUAACAUGUCUGGACAGACCAAUUUUGGGCUUACAGGCCCCUAUCAUGGAUGGCUGGCUUAGGGUAAGACAUGAAAACAGCUGGUUCUCUGAAGUCCGGUGCUGAGUUUGAAGAACUUUAUAUAAAGGUAUGAAGAGUUGGGGCAUCUUACAAGGCCUGGAAUGGGGAGUUUAAGCCAAGAGCAGUUUUAGUAUUCCCAGCAAAACUGAACGUAGAAUUUCUGUGUAUCCUGUCUUCACACACUUAACUAUCAACAUUGGAAAUUGGAGUGAGACUGGCUGCGAUUACAAAUCUGUAGUAGAUCGUUCUCAACAAGGUCCAGAGUUUACAGUAGGAUUUACUCAAGGGUGUUAUAUGAUGUAUGGGCCUGGACACUGUAUGACACCUACACAGUUGUCAUAAUGUGUGGAAUGGGUUUGCUGCCCUUUUCUUAGAAAGUUAAAAAUGGGAAAAAUUAAGUAGAACAAAUUUUAAAUGAAGGCCUUUUUUCCCCUCCAUAUUCAAACAGGCCGACUUAUCAACCUGAAGAUUUAAAGGUAAGUUGGUCUCUGGUCUGUGUGGUAAGUUAGAAUGUAACCAGUGAUGUAGUGAUUCUGCCAAAUGAAAUAGAAUGAUAUCAUUCCUAAAACCGUUCCAUUUUGAUUCUGAGGUUACUUUAUUGACAAGUAUCAAUAUUUUUUGUUUUUUACCAUGAUUAACUUGCAGUUGUUGCUUUUAGGGCAGUUAUGAGAGCAACAGUCCAGUUAACGAGAGCAGCUUAACAGUUAAAAGGUGAGGCUUGAAAACAACAGUACUGUUGUUGUCUUACUCCAGAAUACAUGAUGAUCUCACUCCAACUUGAACUCUCUCACUGAUCACUUGAUGAUUAGAAAAGAUCUGAUGUUCUGUGUACUCCAAAUAUCUUUAGAAUUGAAACACAGAAAUGUGACUAAAAAUAGCUUUUUUGUCCUUGCAGGCACCUGAAUGGAUGGAUGCUCAUGGGAUAGAAGAAAUCAUCAAUUUCAAUAAAUUCUUACAAACCAUCUGAUCAAGAGUGCUUAUUUCAAUUUAAUGGGAUGAAAGAAGGGAAAUAGGACACCUUUGUAGUUUAAGACAGUUUAAGUAAUGAGCCUUUCAUGUGUAUUUUACAGGAUGUCUUGGGUUUGAAAGUAAAGGCAGAGGAAUGUACUACA